UACGUAUGGUGCAAGCGUUAUCCGGAUUUACUGGGUGUAAAGGGAGCGCAGGCGGCACGGCAAGCCUGAUGUGAAAGCCCGCGGCCCAACCGCGGGACUGCAUUGGGAACUACCGGGCUGGAGUGCCGGAGAGGUAGGCGGAAUUCCUAGUGUAGCGGUGAAAUGCGUAGAUAUUAGGAGGAACACCAGUGGCGAAGGCGGCCUACUGGACGGUGAUUGACGCUGAGGCUCGAAAGCGUGGGGAGCAAACAGG
rnacentral:rRNA from 1 species